rnacentral:rRNA from 1 species
CCCUUAGACGUUCUGGGCCGCACGCGCGCUGCACUGACCAGUGCAACAAGCAUCCGUCCUUGGCCGACAGGCUCGGGCAAUCUUUGAACGCUGGUCGUGAUGGGGAUAGACUUUUGCAAUUUUUGGUCUUCAACGAGGAAUUCCUAGUAAACGCAAGUCAUCAACUUGCAUUGAUUACGUCCCUGCCCUUUGUACACACCGCCCGUCGCACCUACCGAUUGAAUGGUCCGGUGAAGCCUCCGGAUUGGCGCGCACCUCGGUGCCGCCGAGAAGUUGGCUAAACCUUACCAUUUAGAGGAAGGUGAAGUCGUAACA